UAUCAUUCUUACUUCCCUUGACUUUUUUAAGCAUCAAACAAGGGUUCAAUUUAGAUGUAUGUUAUAUAUGAUUGUCCAUCUGGUAUAGGAAAACCAUGCAUAAUCCAACAGAGCUCAACUACUUGUUGUGUUCCAUAGAGUUUCGGAGAAGAAUAUAGUUGAUUAUCAUGGCUUUACACUUUAGUACUACAUCCUAAGUGGUUCACUUCA
rnacentral:lncRNA from 1 species